GUGCCUGUGGCUCAAAGGAGUAGGGCACUGGCCCUAUAUGCCAGAGGUGGUGGGUUCAAACCCAGCCCUGGCCA
rnacentral:tRNA from 1 species